rnacentral:rRNA from 1 species
GGCGAGAGACAGAGAGCGAACAAGUUACCGUGAGGGAAAGAUGAAAAGAACUUUGAAAAGAGAGUUAAACAGUACGUGAAAUUGUUGAAAGGGAGACGAUUGAAGCCAGUCGUACCUNCGGGUAAUCAGCCUCCUGGGUGUGAUUUUGUGGAGCGUGAAGAGUUAAACGCCUUCAUGCCUGCAUAUUCGUGCACUUUGGGUGUACUUGCCCGUAUGGUUGGUUAACAUCAAUUUUGAUGGNCACAAAAUGA